rnacentral:rRNA from 1 species
AGAACGAACGCUGGCGGCAGGCUUAACACAUGCAAGUCGAGCGCCCCGCAAGGGGAGCGGCAGACGGGUGAGUAACGCGUGGGAACAUACCCUCCGGUUCGGAAUAGCUCAGGGAAACUUGGAUUAAUACCGGAUACGGCCUAGCGGCGAAAGAUUCAUCGCCGGAGGAUUGGCCCGCGUCUGAUUAGCUAGUUGGUGGGGUAAUGGCCCACCAAGGCGACGAUCAGUAGCUGGUCUGAGAGGAUGAUCAGCCACAUUGGGACUGAGACACGGCCCAGACUCCUACGGGAGGCAGCAGUGGGGAAUCUUGCGCAAUGGGCGAAAGCCUGACGCAGCAACGCCGCGUGGAGGACGAAGGCUUUCUGAGUUGUAAACUCCUUUCAGCAGGGACGAUAGUGACGGUACCUGCAGAAGAAGCACCGGCCAACUACGUGCCAGCAGCCGC